rnacentral:rRNA from 1 species
AGUCGAACGGUGGUAGCAAUACCAUAGUGGCGCACGGGUGCGUAACACGUAACUAAUCUACCUACAACUGGGGGAUAGCCCGCCGAAAGGCGGAUUAAUACCGCAUAACAUUUCUACCUGGCAUCAGGUGGUAAUUAAAGAUUUAUUGGUUGUAGAUGAGGUUGCGGGUCAUCAGCUAGUUGGUUGGGUAACGGCUGACCAAGGCGACGAUGACUAGGGGAGCUGAGAGGCUGGUCCCCCACACGGGCACUGAGAUACGGGCCCGACUCCUACGGGAGGCAGCAGUAGGGAAUAUUGGGCAAUGGGCGAGAGCCUGACCCAGCCAUGCCGCGUGCAGGAAGAAGGCUUUCUGAGUCGUAAACUGCUUUUGACAGGGAAGAAUAAGGACUACGUGUAGUCUGAUGACGGUACCUGCAGAAUAAGCACCGGCUAACUCCGUGCCAGCAGCCGCGGUAAUACGGAGGGUGCGAGCGUUGUCCGGAUUUAUUGGGUUUAAAGGGUGCGUAGGCGGCCCGUUAAGUCCGGGGUGAAAGCCCGUUGCUCAACAACGGAACUGCCCUGGAUACUGACGGGCUUGAGUACAGACGAGGUUGGCGGAAUGGACCGAGUAGCGGUGAAAUGCAUAGAUACGGUCCAGAACCCCGAUUGCGAAGGCAGCUGACUAGGCUGUUACUGACGCUGAGGCACGACAGCGUGGGGAGCGAACAGGAUUAGAUACCCUGGUAGUCCACGCCGUAAACGAUGGAUACUCGCUGCGAGCUAAAGAUUGUUCGUGGCUUAGGGAAACCGAUAAGUAUCCCACCUGGGGAGUACGCUCGCAAGAGUGAAACUCAAAGGAAUUGAC